rnacentral:rRNA from 1 species
UUUAAUUUUAUUUUGGUUAUUAAUUAAUUUAAAUGAUUAUAUAUAUAUAAUUUUUUGAUUACUUUUAUUAAUUUUAAAUAAAUUUUUAUAAUAUUUGUAAUAUAUGAAAUUAUAAAAUUUUAAUUAUUUAAAUUUAUAGGAAUUAUUUUAAUAUAAAAUAUUUAUGUGCCAGCAUUUGCGGUUAUACAUAAUAUAUAAAUUAAAAAUUUAUAAAAUAAAUAAAUUUUGAAUUUUUAUUUAAAUAAUUUAAAUUUAUUUAAAAAUUUUAUGAUAAAAUAAAAAUUUUUAAUUUUAGAUUUAAUUUUAUAUAAAAAUAUUAUUUUUAAAAGUUUUUUAUUAAACUAGGAUUAGAUACCCUAUUAUAAAAAUUAAAUUUAUUAUUUUUGAAUUAUUAAAUUUUUAUUGAAAAUUAAAAAUUAUGACGGUAUUUUAAUCUAUUUAGGGGAAUUUGAUAAAUUAAAUUGAUACUCCACGAUAAAUUUAACUAAAAUUAUUUUUAUUUAUGUAUGUUUGUUUAUAAAAUAUUUUAUUUAAAAUUUAAUAUUUAAGAUUUUUUUAAUAAAAAAAAUUUCAGAUCAAUAUGUAAUUAUUAUUUUAGAUUUAUUGAAUUACUUUUAAUUAUAUUUUUAUAAUUUUUUUUUUAAUUAAUGUAAAUUAAAAGGAUUUAAAAGUAAAAAAUUAAAUUAUUUUUUUUUAAUGUAGUUUUAAAAUAUGUACAAAUUGCCCGUCACUUUUAUAUAAUAAAUAAAAUAAGUCGUAACAAAGUAAAUGU